UUGAAAUAAACCUGAUGGGUUGUUGCUGGUUCUCUAGGGAGCAUGUGCACGCCUUGUCAUUUUUAUAUCUCCACCUGUGCACCUUUUGUAGACCUUCCAGGUCUAUGUUGCUCCAUUUACCCCAAUGUAUGUUAAUAGAAUGUUGUGUUUAUAAAAUCUAUA
rnacentral:misc_RNA from 1 species